rnacentral:rRNA from 1 species
CCCGUCACCCUCCUCAAGUAGGCACAGUACACUCAAAUUUAUUUGCACGUAUUAAUCAUAUGAGAGGAGACAAGUC